rnacentral:lncRNA from 1 species
AUGACUUAGCAACUGAACAACAACAGCUUUAGCCACUCAUCAAGUAAGGAUCAAAGAUGGUGUAAGACUGGGUCUCAGCUUGGCUGAAGCUUUAGUCCAUGUUGCUUUCACUCUUGGGCCCCAACUGACAUAAAGGCAUCUAUCUGGAAGAUCACUAACAGAAGAUGAAAAAGAUGACAAGAGAUGUGCAUGGAAAAGUGGAGAAACCCUGAGAGUGAUAACUGCCAGUGAUUAGACGAAAGUAGUCAAUGUUGUUUUCCAAAAUCACUUGGGAAGAAAUGGAGACAGUCACCUUGGAUUCUAACAUGGAAGCCACCUGCAGAUGAUAAAGAACUACCCUCUCCUCUCUAGAACACU